CCGAGACUCCAUCUCAAAACAAACAAAUAAACAAACAAACAAACAACCCACAAGCAAAUCCACUAUUAUUAUGGGUUGUCUGACACAACUGAACCUAAUACUAAGUAAUUCAGAAUUUUGUCUUGAAAUGGAGUGCUAAGCAUUAGCUUGGGAAGGUGAUAGGCUGCAGAAACAUAGAUGUUGCAGAAUAGGAAGAAGGUCAUCUCCAUUAGAUGGUAGCAAAAAACAUUGGGUAAAAUUGCAUCUGCUACACCUCAAAAGGCAGACCAUGUGUUAGUGAAAAUGGUAGAAAAAGCCUAGAAUAUUGGUGGUCAGGCAGCUUUUUGCUGCUUUUAGCAAAGUCCUACAGGAGAGAGUUGAAUUCAGCUGAGAGCUAGUCUACAAGCGGAUGUGGAAGGAAAUGUCACUUUGCUAAGGGAGGCACUCUGGGAUGCAGCCUGCACUCUAACUUGACUGGGAGUCUAGCAAUUUGGAGGUGUUUGAAGUGUUAAUUAAGCUGACUGUGUCUGUACCCCAACUUGAACCUGCCCCAAGAGGUGGCUGCAAAAUGACAGCCUCGCUAACAUGUAGCACUGUGGCCCCAAACCCUCUUCAAGCAACUUACUUUACGAGUUCUCUGCCAUCAUGGGAAUCAGCUUAGCUGGUUGCAAAAAUCAAAUCUUACCAAACCUUUUGUUUCAGUAGCUACUAUGUUAAGAGAGAGAGACAGGUGUGGCCAAACACUGGCCAGUAAGUAAAAAGCCUGAGACUUUAGGCUUAAAAGCUGUGUCUAGAUGACAUUGUUAUGUGUGGUUUUGCACACAUGGAAACAGAUAAACUGGAAGCCUACUAAAAUUUUGAGGGAAUCAUAUUGGAAACAAAAAAACCUGUGAGCAGCAUUCUGUAGAGUAAUGCCUGUGUUCCAGAGACUGCAUUAGCAGGAAGAGUGUGUGAAAGGAGAUUGUGUGUGCCCUCCAAGGCCCAUUUCAGAUGUGGUCAAGAGGAUGAUGGAUAAAGGAGAAACUUCCAGAAGGAAAAGCCAGGGCCAGUGGACAAGGGAAUUAUUCUCAGAAAGGAGAGUGAGAAGCUGCCAGAGUGUCCAACCAAGGAAAUGACUUCACUAUGAAUCAGGACAGGAGCCUUUGCUAUUCCUGCCCAGUGGGUUAUGUAAUAGUUAUGGGCCAGUGACUUCUGGGCAUUUCCCCUUCUCCCCAUUUCCAAAUGGGAGUCUUUAGAAAUUGUUGUUAUCUUGUUUCUUCUCUAUCAUUUUAAAUUUAGGUAUGUGAUGGGAAGAUAACUCACUAUUAGCAUAUAGAUCACCUGACCACUGAGAGCUGCAUCUGGGCCUGAUGGAGAGGACUGGGCACCAGUCAUACACUCUGGAUUUAAGCUGAAUGCAGUUACUGAUUGGGUUAUUGCCUUCUUUUAUGGAAAGGAUGGUUGAAUCCAAUCCUGUAACGGGACGUUAAGACAGAAAGCACACUAAUAGGAGAAUGAAAACGUCUACUUCCCAGGGUUGAUUUAUGACUGCAGGAUGGUGUCUUGACCACCUACUACCUUUAUUGACGGAAAGUAACACCCCUCAAAGAACCUUCCAUAUAUUUAUGGGUGUUUUCAGGAAUGGAAGACACCACUGUCUGCUUUUCCCAAAUUCAUUCUCCCAUCCAACCCCAACACCAGUACAUGUUCCCAGUCCAGGCACAGGACAGAUGGACUUUCCUGAGCCACAGGAGUUUGCAACCCUCGUGCUGACCUGAGACCUUGUUUUCCACGGGUGCUGUUACACUGCUGUUGGAAGAACACCAGGAGAGGCUCAGCUUCUUGACAGACUCAGCGUAAGGCUUUCUCCUGGGCAUGAGACAGUGGCCAAGGAAGGCCCAUGGAAGCUCUUUUUGCUUAAAUCGAGCAAUGCUACAGAGCUCAUCAAAAUGAAGAGGGCAAUGGGAAGUCUGGAUCCUGGCUCUGAACUCUUCCAGAUCAACGUGUCUCCACCUGGGCAGUUCCAAGUGAGAAGAACCAGAAGUUCUCUGCCUUGGUCAAUAUGGGGGCAGGGUAGAGAUACAUACAGAGGCACAUUGGAAAUGCAGUAGAAAAUGGCUGCAGAUUUAAAACCAGAAGUUAAGAAGAGCAAACUCGAAUGUAUAGCGAGAGAGCUUCAGGCUGGACUGGCUUCCAGCAGAAGUGGGACUGGAAACCUUGGAUUCUGUUGCCUUUUCUCUGUGACGUGGGAAAACAUAGUGAACCCAGAGCACAUGGCUUUCCACCCGGACUGGUUGGUUACUGCUGCCCUAUUCUUUGAUGGAGAUUAAAAAACAAACAAACAAACAUACCUGAUUGCAAUGGUGCUUUGAAACUCCUAGAUCCUGAACUCCUUUGGGGGAACUCUGAGAGUGGGAGCAGGGCCCUCUGCAGCCAAUUCAGCCUCCCAAGCUGGCUAACACCUGGGAGAACCUUGGCAUUUACCCAGAGAAACAUCCUAAUGUGUACCGCAGCAGGGCGUGGUAAAGAACCUAGAAACAUGUCAGUCAGUAGAAGGUGUAUUGGCCCCCAGAAAGCCAAGCAUUUGUCUGAUGAAGCAUAGAGUGGAUUCUGGCUUAUAUCUUUCAUCACUCGGCUGGGUGCUUCAUCAGCGGAAAAGGUAGCAGCUGAGAGCAUUAGCAGAAACAGUCGAUGGGCUAAGCGCUCUGUGAGAGCUGCAGGCUCAAUCAAGGAGGGCUGGGAGCCCAGGUGUGGACUGUCAUGAGAAGUCCACUUGCAGCAGUAGCAGUGGCAGUGAUCUUCAUAAACACAGGCUCACUGUGCUCAGAGCCCCAUUUUCCCACUGACACUGACCAAGAUGCAUCCUGGCUGUGCGCAGACCCCGGAGAGAACUAACCGAUAGUGGCAACACUGGCACAAUGGCCAGCCAAGGAGGGAAAAGCAAAGCAAAGAGGACUGAGGCAAAGCAAAAAGGACUGAAGAUAUGAAGACACAUAUCUCUACUGAGAAGAGCUCUUCAUAGAACAAGGACAAAUGGCCAGCAAGGUGCCAUGCCUGAAAGUAUUCAAAACCAAGUCCAGCUUCCUGGUCUCACCUAUGUCAUCGGAAGUGUGUAGAUUCUAGGCUAAAGGGCUACCUUUGUUCAAUAGGUGGAAACAAACAUUAAGCAUCCUGAAAUUAUUGCUGAACUCGGGGAUGAGGGCAGCUUCGAUUUCUUCUCUGAACAUGGAAUUGUUUGCUGGAUUUUGCAGGCUUGACUCCUUGACUUCAGCAGUGCAGUUGUAGAAACAAGCCAGCAGCAGUGGCCACACCUAAGCUGGGUCGCGCCUUCCAGGCAAGUGUCCCUGCCAAGGUGGGAAAACCUGAGAUGCUCCCCAGUGGGUGCAAAUAUGUGGGAGAAAAUUGAAUAAAAUUUCCCCUGGGGCGCCCCCCAGGAAGCAUGCUUCCUUCUCCACUCUCCGUUUGGCUCUCAUUUUCAGUUCCUCUGUGCCCAGGCAAAACCUUUAUGUUGUUAAAAAUGAAAUUAGAACCGAAAGGAAGCAGGGAGCAGUUGUGGCCAAAGAUGACACUGAAAAAAGGUGGAAAUUGGUGGCAGCAUCAGGUUUUCCCUGCUGGAGUUUGCACCCCUAAAAUAAGCAGGCAGAAAGUUGGCAGGAAAGCAGAGCUGCAGGCCGCUCAGUCAUUGGGUCCCACCACGGGAUACCCAGUGCCGUGCUGACCCCAGAGCAGAUCCAGACUCUCCUCCCGACUCCCUCACCCCUUCCUCUCCUUCGGGGGGCCUCACAGCACCCCCUACCCCCAGCUCUUACCCAUGCAAUGCACAGGCCCUUCCCCAGUUCUGAAGGGAUUUAUGCGUUUUGGAGGAGCAGGUUUUAAAGCCAAAAGGGCUUUUUGGUGAUGUGCAAGAGCCCAAAGGCUGGCACCACGGCCCGGCCGCUGGGUGCAGGCCAGUGAGGCUCAUACUCGCUGGCCCCAGGGGUUGGGGGUUGGGCGUGGGGUGGGGGCUUUCCCUGGAUCCUAGGUGGACCAAGUCAUCUCAGAGGAGUGAGGACUGGAGCGGGAUGCUCAUGCUUCUGUCCUCAAGGGGCAAGCGCUGCAGGGAGAGGCUCCCGGCUGACACCCUUUAGGAGGCCUGGAAUUGGGGCGGCUUUUCCUGACAGAGGGCUGUCUGGCUUGCUGAGCUGGGCUCUGCCAAAAAGCCAUCUGAGCCCUGGCUUUCAUGCUAACGUAAGGAAGUGAUUAGGACUGGAAACUUGAACUUGGAAUGUGGUCUCUCCAGGCCCAGGGUACUUCUAGUGUGCCUCGUUGGGUAAAACAGGCUUUUUCAGCUGCCUUGCCAUGGAGCGGGAAGAGCCCGUAGCUGCGAGGUGUAAGCUGUGGGUCUGGCCUGGCCUGUCGCCCUCAGUGUGAGGGGACAGCACCCUCAGCAUCUCUGGGCCUCACAGGAGGGUCUCAGCCCCUUUCUACCUCAAUAAAUUUUAUGUAAUCAAGUGUGUUAUUCAUUUGGUGUCUUUCUUUCCCCAUAGUUUGUGUAGAAAGGAAGUGGAGUUGUGGUAAAAAGAAACCCAGCGCAGCCAAAACACACAUACACAAACCCCCGGGCAUCUCUCGGUUGAGUUUCGCUUGUCAGAAAGUGCCGCGAAAAGACAGCUUGAUUUUUCUUUAUGCAGCUUGUCUGCAAAUGGCACUUGAACUGAAAUAUUCCCUUUCAUCUUUGUGACAGAAAUAUGAUUCAGUAAUUCUUUGUGAAAAUGUAGAUGAUACGCUGCCGUAGUUAUAGUGAGUUAGGUUUAAGUGGCAAAUGCCUACUGAUAAAGACUUAAUUAAAGACACAAUAGCAGUGGGAGGUCAUUAUAGUAAUUUCAGUCCCGGCUUUAUUGUUGGGGUCCAGUACUGAACUGUAGCAGCACAUUACCACCACAUAGUGUCUUGGUCUGAUGAGACAGUGAUCCGGCUCAGUGUACUUAGACUUUCACUUGCCAUGAGAUCGGGACUUUCUGCAGUUGCCCUGGUUCCACUUUAUUUUCAUGUAGACUUUGUGCCUCAUUUAAAAUACGUGAUAAAAUAAAUCGGUAAUCUCCUAA